UCAUGGCUCAGGACGAACGCUGGCGGCGUGCCUAAUACAUGCAAGUCGAACGAACUCUGGUAUUGAUUGGUGCUUGCAUCAUGAUUUACAUUUGAGUGAGUGGCGAACUGGUGAGUAACACGUGGGAAACCUGCCCAGAAGCGGGGGAUAACACCUGGAAACAGAUGCUAAUACCGCAUAACAACUUGGACCGCAUGGUCCGAGUUUGAAAGAUGGCUUCGGCUAUCACUUUUGGAUGGUCCCGCGGCGUAUUAGCUAGAUGGUGGGGUAACGGCUCACCAUGGCAAUGAUACGUAGCCGACCUGAGAGGGUAAUCGGCCACAUUGGGACUGAAACACGGCCCAAACUCCUACGGGAGGCAGCAGUAGGGAAUCUUCCACAAUGGACGAAAGUCUGAUGGAGCAACGCCGCGUGAGUGAAGAAGGGUUUCGGCUCGUAAAACUCUGUUGUUAAAGAAGAACAUAUCUGAGAGUAACUGUUCAGGUAUUGACGGUAUUUAACCAGAAAGCCACGGCUAACUACGUGCCAGCAGCCGCGGUAAUACGUAGGUGGCAAGCGUUGUCCGGAUUUAUUGGGCGUAAAGCGAGCGCAGGCGGUUUUUUAAGUCUGAUGUGAAAGCCUUCGGCUCAACCGAAGAAGUGCAUCGGAAACUGGGAAACUUGAGUGCAGAAGAGGACAGUGGAACUCCAUGUGUAGCGGUGAAAUGCGUAGAUAUAUGGAAGAACACCAGUGGCGAAGGCGGCUGUCUGGUCUGUAACUGACGCUGAGGCUCGAAAGUAUGGGUAGCAAACAGGAUUAGAUACCCUGGUAGUCCAUACCGUAAACGAUGAAUGCUAAGUGUUGGAGGGUUUCCGCCCUUCAGUGCUGCAGCUAACGCAUUAAGCAUUCCGCGUGGGGAGUACGGCCGCAAGGCUGAAACUCAAAGGAAUUGACGGGGGCCCGCACAAGCGGUGGAGCAUGUGGUUUAAUUCGAAGCUACGCGAAGAACCUUAACAGGUCUUGACAUACUAUGCAAAUCUAAGAGAUUAGACGUUCCCUUCGGGGACAUGGAUACAGGUGGUGCAUGGUUGUCGUCAGCUCGUGUCGUGAGAUGUUGGGUUAAGUCCCGCAACGAGCGCAACCCUUAUUAUCAGUUGCCAGCAUUAAGUUGGGCACUCUGGUGAGACUGCCGGUGACAAACCGGAGGAAGGUGGGGAUGACGUCAAAUCAUCAUGCCCCUUAUGACCUGGGCUACACACGUGCUACAAUGGAUGGUACAACGAGUUGCGAACUCGCGAGAGUAAGCUAAUCUCUUAAAGCCAUUCUCAGUUCGGAUUGUAGGCUGCAACUCGCCUACAUGAAGUCGGAAUCGCUAGUAAUCGCGGAUCAGCAUGCCGCGGUGAAUACGUUCCCGGGCCUUGUACACACCGCCCGUCACACCAUGAGAGUUUGUAACACCCAAAGUCGGUGGGGUAACCUUUUAGGAACCAGCCGCCUAAGGUGGGACAGAUG
rnacentral:rRNA from 1 species